rnacentral:misc_RNA from 1 species
GGAAGUAAAAGUCGUAACUAGGUUUCCGUAGGUGAACCUGCGGAAGGAUCAUUAUUGUAUAACCGAGGUGCGAGGGCUGUCGCUGACCCGAAAGGUCGUGCACGCCCGAGUGCCCUCACACACAUCCAUCUCACCCCUAUGUGCACCACCGCGUGGAUCCCCCUUUGGCUUGUUCGGAGGGGGGCUUACGUUUUCACACAAACUUUGUAUGCAGUGUAGAAUGUAUUUUUUGUUUUUGCGAUCACGCAAUCAAUACAACUUUCAACAACGGAUCUCUUGGCUCUC